UGCUGUCCGGGAUAACCAUCGGGGUAAUUGCCGAUAUGUUUUCUGUGUCUCCGAGCACAAUUAGGAGGAAAAUGACGGAGGAAGGUCUAAGUGCUGGACAUUCAGCGUCAUCACCCAAAUUCUGACUGCAGAAUGAUGAUGGGACAUCUAUGAUCCAGAGGCAUAUACAUUCAAAGAUUUCGACUGAUGGAUUCAAUGAGACGAGUCAAUCCAGAAGGGGUCAAGAUGCGACGGUUAUCUAUUAAGACUACAAGGCGUUUUCAGUACAGUGUAUCAGCAGCAAAUCACCUUUGGCAUAUAGAUGGAAAUCAGCAUUGAGCGCCUGUGGAGGGAUGUAUAUGAAAACAUCUUCACCCAGCUGGGGAUUCAAGGACUGCUCAACCCUGGUGAAAAAAUUCACUUGUUUGCUCUGCACAGAUGCUUUUUGCAUCACAUUCAACAUCAUCUUCAGUCAUUCCAGGAAGCAAGGAGUCAGCACGGACUCACAAAAGCAAACAACCAUUCACCCCUGCACCUCUGGUUGCUGCACAGAAAGGAGGGACAAGAUUUGUC